CUGGUCUGAGGCUAUGAUGAAUAUCAGAAGAGAGAAGCUACUUCUUCAGCUUCAAGAAAAAGCCAGGAUCGAGGCAAGGAUGAAAGUCAGACAAGAGGAAAGGCUUGCGUUAGUUAAGAUGGAAGAAGAAGAAGCAAGAUCAAACUGUAAGUUCGAACAAGAUCCCUUGUCUGCCGAAAAAGUCGAAAACGAACUGUUAAUUCUCAUUGGCGGUUCCCGUAAGGCAAGAGAUCGAUCUUUGCUUAAAAAGUUUGGGUUGGUUUUAAAAACUGAUCAUAUUGAUGAUGAUCGUCUUUAUGAUCUUGAGGAAGGUGAAAUCUUUUAAGAGUAGUAGUAGUUUCCUCACAGUUGUUUGAUUAGAAGAUCGUGUAGAAUUGUUUGAUGGUUAAUUGGUCUUUGAUCCUCUAUAAAGUUUUGAGUUUUAUUGUCAUGUCAUUCUUUCUUGAAGGUUGUAAUUGAUUUACUAGAUAACAUCAACUUGAUUUGACUGCUCAAGUCAUUGCUUGUUUGCUUAAGCUUCUAUGGAUAUUACACUGACACCAGUGGACAUUGCCUUACAUUCCAUGGUUUUGUUUUGAUUUGGUCCUUUCAUCCUUUGGAUCUCUUUGAUUGAUCUUUCUUCUUUCUGUUUCAAUGUAUUUUGUGAGGUCAAAUGGCUUCUUGUAUCCCACAUAUUUUCUCGUGAUACUUAACCAUCUGCAUGUAAGCAGCCACUCAGUGUCUAAAUAUAGCAAUUAUGAGGAAAGGCUGAGUUCAACAUUUUCUGUAAACAUUGGUGUAAACCGACUCUGUUUCUUACUUAGAAUCCACCUUGAUCUUCCGUCUAACUUCUUAUGCAUGCUCUGUGUUCAUCAAAUGUGGCAGAUCCGAGGGAUCGACAAACACCUCUUCAUUGACCAUUCUGUUGCUGUACCUUUUACCAGUGCUCAGGUAUUUAAUAUUAAGGCGAAGUACUGAACAAAUGGCCUAUUAGCUCAGUUGGUUAGAGCGUCGUGCUAAUAACGCGAAGGUCACAGUUUCGAAACCUGUAUAGGCCACUCUAUUUUUGUUUCCUUUUUUUCACUCAUUAUUUGUUAUUUAGGAGGAUUAGUCAGGCUUUGAAGGAGCCAAGCUUCAUUUUCUUCACAGUUACGCUUCAUGUUUUCUUAUAGCUGGUUGAUCUUAGUCAAGUAGAAGAUCCAAAGCUAGGCUCUCCAUCGACCUACAAAGAUCAGAGGUAUCAACAUAAAGAAUGAUGGAAGUGACCAAAGCUUCAUUCUCUUCACAGAAAACAAACGCACAGAAACAAGGCUCUGUUUCCAACCACUGUAACAAGGCAUUACGCUUAAUGUUUUCUUAUAGCUGAUUAUUCUUGUAAAAGUAGAGAUCCAAGGCUAGGCUUUCCAUCGACCUACAAACAGCAGAGUGAUAGUCGCAGGUUGUGGCCCAUGGAAUGGAAGCUUCAUUGUGCAAAGGCUAGUCUUGUUUUCAAAUAGCAGAAUAACUAAUUUCUCUCAGCGUAAUCGACAUCAGAGUACAUUCCCUUGGAUCCUGAGAAAAGGUCGCUUCCUUAAGGGUUGUAUUGAUGAUACUUGUGUAAUGAUUAUUGAAGCAUCAAUUGGCGGUGGCUGCCAAGGCGGAGGCUAGUUCCAUAAGUUACAUAAUUGCUCAGAAUAUUGAUGGUUUAACAUUUUCUUAUUUUCCGAGAAAUUCUCUUGUAAAUCACACUUUUGUUUUUAAUGUCAUGUGGUUUAUUGUUUGAUAAGAAGAGGUG